rfam:Anaerobacillus macyae strain DSM 16346 super1, whole genome shotgun sequence.
CAAAAAAAAUACCCGCAGGAUAUACUUCCUGCGGGUGCCUUAAGCCGUUAAGCUAAGGCAAUGGGAGAGGAGAAACCGGAGGAAGAACUUAUGGGGAAACGUAAGUCUUCUCCGUGG